UUCAAUUACUCAAACAAGGACAUCUAUUUUCAUUUGAGGUGCUCCUAUGUAACUUAUCCAACCUCCCAGUUCCUGUAUGGACAUUCCAUAAGUCCUUGGUCAAAUCUACCCAGUCCUCUGCAGACAGGAAGUUUCUGGAAGCAGCAGAAGCAUUGUGGAAGUAUGAACUUAAAGAAGAAAAGUUGACCCAACUUCUGAAAUUUUAACCUCCAUUUGCUACUUGUUUUCCAUCUUUCAAUGACAAUAAUUCACUUCAUCAGUGAAUCCCAAUUCAGAAAAGCGCAUGAAAGUCGUCUCCUGUGUCAGAACUCUUCCUUCCUUUGAAGCUCAAGAAAUUAUUUUAAUUGUGGGUUUUUUUUUAGCAAGUAAGGCUAAUCUCUGCAUCAGUCAUUCCAGAAAUAUGAAGAUGUAUUGUUUGCAAGGAAAAAGAAGGUAUAGGGAGUUCCAAUUAUAUGUUCUGGGAGAUUUCUUAGAAACAGUGAUCCACAGCGGUAACUGUGUGAAUGCGGAAGACAGUCUCCACUCCACAAAAGCCAGAAACUUUACAUUUUUGUACAGGCAAUAUGUCUCCCUUCUAAAAGCUAAAUAUUUAGAAUUCGUGUAUCAAUUGGAACUAUUUUUUCAAAACUCCAGAGCAAAACAAAAUAAAAUUAAGGGUGUGUAAAAAUUGAAUCAAAUACAGAAUGUGUCAGAAAUUAUUUUGUUUUGUCUGCAUAAUAAAUUUGUAAAUGUGGCUAAUAAAACCUCUCUAUGGAAAAAUAUAACAUAAAUAUACUUAGAAAGUUCUAGAUAUACUUCCUCAAUGACAUACAUAAAUUAUUUCCCUUUCUUCUUCAGCAUAUGCAUUUUAAUAUAGCAUCCCUAAUCAGCCCAUUAUACCAACAUGUAUACAUUGAUUUUCUGUACAUUAUAACUUGCUUCUAGUUCUCUAGAAAUGUUUUGUCCUACUAUGGUGAAACUAUUUGUUCAGUUUUAUAUGCUGUUAGCCAUAAAAUGAAUUAAUCCUGAAAAGAGAAUCCUUGCAAUAAACCAUGAAUCAUUUAAUAGCCCUGUUUGUUGUACAGUGGGAAUCUGAUUCUGGCCUCAUUGCCAAGCUUGAGUAAAUGCUCAAGGGAGUUCUGGAGACAACAGAGCACUACAGAACUGUCCUCUCCUGGACCAUGACCUCCUUGGAGGUCUCAAUUAGUCCUUAGAACAAAAGGAGUUUAUGUGGUUGUUGACCUACAUGCUUCAUGUGGUUUGUUUUGAUGUUCAUCCUCUCAAAACAGCCGGCAAUGUCAAACACAGUGUGAGGGAUUUUAUGCCAGUCCCUCUGGAAGUUAGCUCUACAAUACAUAAAAGCACAAUUUCCCCCUUGCCAUGUUGUCCCUGUAUUGCAGCCCUGUGGCCACUGAGACUGUUCACAGCAAGGGAGAUGAGUACAGUGCUUUUCUGCAAUAAAACAACCAGAUAAUAUUGUCCUCAUAUCUUCUUGUUGUCCUUGAGAUCUCAGUCCAACAGUUCCUCCAACAAAUCUAAUUGCAGUUGAAACAAAUGAUUGCUGUAAGAACUUUCCAGGCUAACUGUUCGGUUCU